rnacentral:rRNA from 1 species
GACGAACGCUGGCGGCGUGCCUAAUACAUGCAAGUUGAGCGCUGAAGGUUGGUACUUGUACCAACUGGAUGAGCAGCGAACGGGUGAGUAACGCGUGGGGAAUCUGCCUUUGAGCGGGGGACAACAUUUGGAAACGAAUGCUAAUACCGCAUAAAAACUUUAAACACAAGUUUUAAGUUUGAAAGAUGCAAUUGCAUCACUCAAAGAUGAUCCCGCGUUGUAUUAGCUAGUUGGUGAGGUAAAGGCUCACCAAGGCGAUGAUACAUAGCCGACCUGAGAGGGUGAUCGGCCACAUUGGGACUGAGACACGGCCCAAACUCCUACGGGAGGCAGCAGUAGGGAAUCUUCGGCAAUGGACGAAAGUCUGACCGAGCAACGCCGCGUGAGUGAAGAAGGUGUGCGGAUCGUAAAACUCUGUUGGUAGAGAAGAACGUUGGUGAGAGUGGAAAGCUCAUCAAGUGACGGUAACUACCCAGAAAGGGACGGCUAACUACGUGC